rnacentral:rRNA from 1 species
UACGGAGGGUGCAAGCGUUAUCCGGAUUCACUGGGUUUAAAGGGAGCGUAGGUGGGCUUGUAAGUCAGUGGUGAAAUCUCCGUGCUUAACACGGAAACUGCCAUUGAUACUAUAGGUCUUGAAUGUUCUGGAGGUUAGCGGAAUAUGUCAUGUAGCGGUGAAAUGCUUAGAUAUGACAUAGAACACCAAAUUGCGAAGGCAGCUAACUACAGGGUAUUUGACACUGAGGGCUACGAAAGGCAGUGGGGGAUCAAACAACGAUAGAA